AUAAGCCUGGAAUGUUCGAUAAUUUCUGAUAUUUUGAACCUACAUGACUUAAAAAGGGAUUCCUAUAUCCAUAUUUUGAUGUCAGGCCUCAUUUCGGUGGAAGGCAGAUGAAUAUGUGCGGUUGCCCACCUAGUAAACGCUAGGAGUCAAAAACAGAAACCGGCAUUUUGGGCUUAUU
rnacentral:other from 2 species